UACGAAGGGAGCUAGCGUUACUCGGAAUCAUUGGGCGUAAAGCGUGCGUAGGCGGUCUUAUAAGUCAGAAGUGAAAGCCUGGGGCUCAACCUCAGAACUGCUUUUGAAACUAUAAGACUUGAGUAUCAGAGGGGAUAGCGGAAUUCCUAGAGUAGAAGUGAAAUUCGUAGAUAUUAGGAGGAACACCGGUGGCGAAGGCGGCUAUCUGGCUGAAUACUGACGCUGUUGCACGAAAGCGUGGGGAGCAAACAGGAUUAGAUACCCUGGUAGU
rnacentral:rRNA from 1 species